GCGUGGGAAUGUGCCCAGUAGUGGGGGAUAGCCCGGGGAAACCCGGAUUAAUACCGCAUACGCCCUUCGGGGAAAGACAGGGAGUCUUCGGACCUUGCACUAUUGGAUCAGCCCGCGUCAGAUUAGCUAGUUGGUGGGGUAAAGGCCUACCAAGGCGACGAUCUGUAGCUGGUCUGAGAGGAUGAUCAGCCACACUGGAACUGAGACACGGUCCAGACUCCUACGGGAGGCAGCAGUGGGGAAUAUUGGGCAAUGGGCGCAAGCCUGACCCAGCCAUGCCGCGUGUGUGAAGAAGGCCCU
rnacentral:rRNA from 1 species